rnacentral:rRNA from 1 species
UACGUAGGGGGCAAGCGUUGUCCGGAUUUAUUGGGCGUAAAGAGCGUGUAGGCGGCCAUACAGGUCAGCUGUGAAACUCGAGGCUCAACCUCGAGACGUCGGUUGAAACCGUUUGGCUAGAGUCCGGAAGAGGAGAGUGGAAUUCCGGUGUAGCGGUGAAAUGCGCAGAUAUCGGGAAGAACACCCGUGGCGAAGGCGGCUCUCUGGGACGGUAC